CUCGGCCAAAAGAGGUCUGUAAGUCUUCACUUGCCGGCAAUUAGCCCGACUUACACCCGAGGUUUUUUCUCCCAUAGGAUUUAUUCCGGAAUGUGAAGAAUCUUCGGCCGACGCUCUCCGUGUCUAGAAAAAUUGUAUCCGAUUUUUAUCGCAUACAGGUCGCUGUUUUUUGUCUGAAAAAACACGGAAACACGUGUUGGCCUAAAAUUAGAACCGGAAACGCACGUGUCGUUUUAUAACCAAACGACCCCAUGAAAAUCGACAGGAGUACAAACUAAAUAAACAAAAAGUGGCUAAUUAGAUAACAGAGCCGGAUUAGGGGCUUAUGUUCGAUAAAACCUCAUCUCCUGAAAGAAAAAAAAACAAACCUCAGCUGACAUUAUUAUUAGACUCUACCGACCGGUGCAAUAAACAGCGGAUAUAGUAAAAAUGUUAUAAAACAAACUCGUCUUUGUGCUUGUGAGAUAAAGCCGCUCGUAAUGUCUUCAUUUUAAAAGGUGGUGCGGCAUAUGUGCGGUUUGUGAGAUAAUUCCUCUUUAUUCGUGACACCUUGUGGAAGGAAAAUUAUCAAGAAUAAACAGCGGCCACGUUCCAAAGUACCCAACUAAAUUCGGAUGCUCGAAAAACAAUGUUUUUUGUAAGUGAUGACAUGAUGAGUUCGCAGAAUCGUUUCCUGUGAAAUCACACCGAAAGAAAUUUGAUUUCCGACAAGAGGCGUCUUGAGGUUUCAGAAUAGAAGUUUGAUUUGGACGAGAGUGCCGGCGUUAGAUUCAAUUUAUGACUCAAUUGUUACUCAUAAGAAUUGGCAUUAAUUUUUUGAAGUGUUUCCGGUAGUCAUAUGUUUUCCGGAAGGAACGGGAGAAAAAACCCCAAGUGAAUAAAU